rnacentral:lncRNA from 1 species
GGCGAGGCGGGCGGGGCGGAGUGAAUGAGCUCUCAGGAGGGAGGAUGGUGCAGGCAGGGGUGAGGAGCGCAGCGGGCGGCGAGCGGGAGGCACUGGCCUCCAGAGCCCGUGGCCAAGGCGGGCCUCGCGGGCGGCGACGGAGCCGGGAUCGGUGCCUCAGCGUUCGGGCUGGAGACGAGGCCAGGUCUCCAGCUGGGGUGGACGUGCCCACCAGCUGCCGAAGGCCAAGACGCCAGGUCCGGUGGACGUGACAAGCAGGACAUGACAUGGUCCGGUGUGACGGCGAGGACAGAGGAGGCGCGUCCGGCCUUCCUGAACACCUUAGGCUGGUGGGGCUGCGGCAAGAAGCGGGUCUGUUUCUUUACUUCCUCCACGGAGUCGGCACACUAUGGCUGCCCUCUGGGCUCCCAGAACCCACAACAUGAAAGGUGAGGGGCUUCCUGCCACACUUGGGCUCAAGCCUGGGCCUUUGAAUCCGGACACAAAACCCUCUAGCUUGGAAAUGAAUAUGCUGCACUUUACAACCACUGCACUACCUGACUCAGGAAUCGGCUCUGGAAGGUGAAGCUAGAGGAACCAGACCUCAUCAGCCCAACAUCAAAGACACCAUCGGAACAGCAGCGCCCGCAGCACCCACCCCGCACCGGCGACUCCAUCUUCAUGGCCACCCCCUGCGGCGGACGGUUGACCACCAGCCACCACAUCAUCCCAGAGCUGAGCUCCUCCAGCGGGAUGACGCCGUCCCCACCACCUCCCUCUUCUUCUUUUUCAUCCUUCUGUCUCUUUGUUUCUGAGCUUUCCUGUCUUUCCUUUUUUCUGAGAGAUUCAAAGCCUCCACGACUCUGUUUCCCCCGUCCCUUCUGAAUUUAAUUUGCACUAAGUCAUUUGCACUGGUUGGAGUUGUGGAGACGGCCUUGAGUCUCAGUACGAGUGUGCGUGAGUGUGAGCCACCUUGGCAAGUGCCUGUGCAGGGCCCGGCCGCCCUCCAUCUGGGCCGGGUGACUGGGCGCCGGCUGUGUGCCCGAGGCCUCACCCUGCCCUCGCCUAGUCUGGAAGCUCCGACCGACAUCACGGAGCAGCCUUCAAGCAUUCCAUUACGCCCCAUCUCGCUCUGUGCCCCUCCCCACCAGGGCUUCAGCAGGAGCCCUGGACUCAUCAUCAAUAAACACUGUUAC